ACUCAAAUGAAUAGACGGGAGAGCGCACAACCAGUGGAGCAUGUGGUUUAAUUCGAUAAUAACCGUAGGACCUCACCCAGGCUUGACAUUCUACUGCAAGUCCUGUGAAAGCAGGAUUCCUUCGAGGGUGUAGAACAGGUGUUGCAUGGCUGUCGUCAGCUCGUGCCGUGGGGUGUCCUCUUAAGUGAGGUAACGAGCGCAACCCCUGCUGUAUGUUGAAUAAUCAUACGGGACAGCCCGAGCUUAGCUCGGGAGGAAGGAGGGGACGACGUCAAGUCAGCAUGGCCCUUAUGUCUGGGGCAACACACAUGCUACAAUGAGGCCGACAAUGGGUUGCCAAGCAGCGAUGCGGAGCUAAUCCCAUCAAACGGCCUCUCAGUGGGGAUUGCAGUCUGAAACCCGACUGCAUGAACGCGGAAUUGGUAGUAAUCGCAAAUCAGCUAUGUUGCGGUGAAUACGUUCUCGCUCUUUGUACACACCGCCCGU
rnacentral:rRNA from 1 species